rnacentral:lncRNA from 1 species
GAGUCCUGGUUCUUACUCUUCUUAGCUUCCAUCUUGUACGUUUGGGAACAGGUUUUGGAAAUCAACGUGGUUUGAAAUAGUGUUUCACCUCAGCAAACAUUAGCAAAUUAGUUUCUUGGAAGCUCUUAUGGACAGGUUUUGAGAGGAUUCCUCAAGUUUGACCUCAAGCAAGAUUCACUACUAACUUUGAAGUAGAAUAAGGUUGUACAUUGUUCAUGUGGAUGCUAUUGGCUAAAUUUCUAUAGCAAUGGCACGAGAAUAUAGCACCUGUGAUCUGACCAAGUCACAGCCUGCUUUCCAUAGUCGUAUUUUGACUCCAGCAUACCCAUGCCUGCUGUGUCAUCCUGAUGCCCUGUGUGGCCACAUGCAUCAUAAUACCAACACCCUUUACAUCCCCUUCCAAAAAUGUGAAGAAUGGUAAGAGAAGUAAGCCAAGGACACCAUCCUGGAAUCACUAGCUUUGCACUGGAGCCCAACAAUGAUACUGAGGAGCCAGCAAAAAGAAAGAGGCAAGAGAAAAAUGAAGAACAUGGUUAUCAUGGAAGUGCAGAGAAGAGAGAGUUUCAGGAAGGAGGGAGGGAUCAAGAGUGUACAUGUCUCAAAGAGCCAGUAUGACAAGAACUGUUUUUACACCUGGAGCUUCCCUGGAGGGGAGGGACUGUUUCCUCAAAUAUCCUCGCACCCAGUGUGUACUCAGUGCUCAGAGAGAAUGCAGAAAAGCUGGGGAUGAUUUAGAGGAGAGGAGGAAGCACUUUUCCUAGAAGAUUGGCGUUAUCAGCAAAGGGCGAGGGUUACGAUGUGAUAAACCUUGAGUGAUGAAGGCUUCCAGCUAGUAGAAUUUGGGUGCGUCGUCUUGUUUUCUGAAUUCCGUGAACUUGCUGAACUUAAACAAUGAGAUUGGGAUUCUAGCUGCAUGGAUCUACCGUGGAGUCUGAAAUAGUACCUAGAGCUGUGGUAUGAAACUUGUAACAAGGACAUUUUUUGUAUAGUUUACUCCUUCAACAGAUGCAGUUGACAUGCUGUAAAUUAGUAUUGCUCUUCUAUUUAAUUCUGUUGCUUUUUAUCUUAUUUAUUAAUGCUCAGGCAGGUUUGUUGACAAUUACGAGAAUUGCAAAUAAGUGUCACCAUGUGUUUGCUAUUUCCAUUAACCCUAAGGAAUAGGUUUUACGUGUUACUGAUCUGUCAUCAUAUUGCACACGUGGAUGCCAUCUUUAUUUUUGACUAGUAGUUUAAUAAAUGCAAAGCCUGCAUGUUUCUACAUAUUCUAGUCAGUGUCCAAAGUGUAUUGCACCUAAAUGGGUUUGGUGGUAUAAAUAAGGAUGGAGAAAGAGAGGGAGAGGGAAAGGAAGAGAGAGAGAGAUGGAGAGGAUGAAUGAAAAUAGGAAAGAAGGUCCUCAUGACAGAAAAAAAUAAAAAUCUGUGACUGAACUUAGCUGUCCCUCUUGAACCUCCUCCGUUUUUAUAGGUCAGUAACUGUGGGCACUCUCUCGCCUGUGUGCCCAUCCAUGUUUUGAAAUUAAAAGAAAACAUUGAGUUGUUAUAACCAAGAUGUGAUAGGAGUCUUGGCAUUUCUUUUAGAUUGUGAAGAAAUGUUUGUGUUUAAAUAUAAGAUUUUUUAAAACUCAUUAAAAAACAUAGGAAGCAUGUGAGCUGGUUCUGAGGAGGAGCACUGGGAGUGGCCGCCAAGACUGGGCA